GCGUAACGCGGUGGGAAUUCUCGCCCCGUCGGUUACGGAACAACUAGUUAAGAAAUGACUGCUAAGUACCGGAUAAUGACGAAAGUCCAAAGAUUUAUCGCCGAGGGAUGAGCCCGCGUAGGAUUAGCUUGUUGGUGGGGUAAUGGCCCACCAAGGCGACGAUCCUUAGCUGGUCUGAGAGGAUGAUCAGCCACACUGGGACUGAGACACGGCCCAGACUCCUACGGGAGGCAGCAGUGGGGAAUAUUGGACAAUGGGCGAAAGCCUGAUCCAGCAAUGCCGCGUGAGUGAUGAAGGCCUUAGGGUUGUAAAGCUCUUUUACCAGGGAUGAUAAUGACAGUACCUGGAGAAUAAGCUCCGGCUAACUCCGUG
rnacentral:rRNA from 1 species